UGGCGAAGUCUUGUCUCAAAAAAAAAAAAGUUACAUAUAAAUUUUGUAUGUAGUUUUUAUACCACAGUGACUGCUUGUAAAUGAAAGACAAGUAUCUCAGGCUGUGGGUAAUUAACUCCUUCAGUGUUAUAAACAGAUGUGUUCUUUUCAAAGCUAUGUCUACCACACUCUCUUUAUUGACGGAAUCACUUAUUUGUGUGCUACAGACAAUGGCUUGGACACCAUGGCACCAUCUGCAUUUCUUAGACAAGUUAGUGAUAUUUUUACAAGAAUUCCUUUGAUGUCACAAGAACACUUUUUUCCUUCAAAUGCACUUGCUACAGAUUUUCAACAAAUACUAGCACAGCACAUGAUGGAAUACAAUAAAAAUGGAAGUCGCAUGGUGCUGUCGACAGUGAAGAGUCAAGUGUCUGAUGUCAAAAGUAUUAUGUUAAGAAACAUCGACACAAUUCUAGAAAAAGAAACAGAAACAGUGAGAAUCCUCACGGAAGAGGCUGGUGACCCCCAGGCAACUGCUGAAGAACUUGAAAACAGCAAGAAGAUGCCCAAGAGGACAUGGUGGAAGUGCUUCAAGAUCGUAGUCACCACCCUUGCCAUCCCCCUGUCAAUCAUUAUCAUCCUCUUGAGUGCACACGUAAUACCCACCUGACCAAUAAAGUGUUGUGUGGCAUUACAGAGCUCUGCACCCCAUAGCUGUGAGCUCGCUCAGUGGUAGAAAUGGGGGAAGAGGAUGGAGCUUUUCCUGGCCCUUCAUCUUCUAACCCCUUCCUGUUUCUGUGCCUUGAUUUCCCAACACUGCUGUGCACUGAUAUGCUUCCUCCAUGGCCUCCCCCUCUGGAAGGCUGAGCCCUGGUGUGCACCUUUCCCCGGCACUCAGGAGGCUCGGUGGGCAGAUCUGAG
rnacentral:lncRNA from 1 species